GAUCAUUACCGAGUGCAGGUCUGCCCCCGGGCAGGCCUAACCUCCCACCCGUGAAUACCUGACCAACGUUGCUUCGGCGGUGCGCCCCCCCGGGGGUAGCCGCCGGAGACCACAUUGAACCUCUUGUCUUUAGUGUUGUCUGAGCUUGAUAGCAAACCUAUUAAAACUUUCAACAAUGGAUCUCUUGGUUCCGGCAUCGAUGAAGAACGCAGCGAACUGCGAUAAGUAAUGUGAAUUGCAGAAUUCAGUGAAUCAUCGAGUCUUUGAACGCACAUUGCGCCCCCUGGCAUUCCGGGGGGCAUGCCUGUCCGAGCGUCAUUGCUGCCCUUCAAGCCCGGCUUGUGUGUUGGGUCGUCGUCCCCCCCGGGGGACGGGCCCGAAAGGCAGCGGCGGCACCGCGUCCGGUCCUCGAGCGUAUGGGGCUUUGUCACCCGCUCGAUUAGGGCCGGCCGGGCGCCAGCCGGCGUCUCCAACCUUCUAUUUUACCAGGUUGACCUCGGAUCAGGUAGGGAUACCCGCUGAACUUAAGCAUAUCAAUAAAGCGGAGG
rnacentral:misc_RNA from 1 species